AUUGAACGCUGGCGGCAGGCCUAACACAUGCAAGUCGAGCGGCUGCAGGGAGCUCGCUCCUGGAUUCAGUGGCGGACGGGUGAGUAAUGCCUAGGAAUCUGCCUGGUAGUGGGGGAUAACGUCCGGGAACGGGCGCUGAUACCGCAUACGUCCUGAGGGUGAUAGUGGGGGAUCUUAGGACAUCACGCUAUCAGAUAAGCAUAGGUCGGAUUAGCUAGUUGGUGGGGUAAAGGCCUACCAAGUCGACGAUCCGUAUCUGAUCUGAGCGAAUGAUGAGUCACACUGGAACUGAGACACGUUCCAGAGUCUUACGGGAAGCAGCAUUGUGGAAGAUUGGACAAGGGGCGAAAGCCUGAUCCAGCCAUGCCGCGUGAGUGAAGAAGGUCUUCGGAUUGUAAAGCACUUUUAGUUGGGAAGAAGGUCAGUAAGCUAAUACCUUGUGGUUUUGACGUUACCAACAGAAUAAGCACCGGCUAACUUCGUG
rnacentral:rRNA from 1 species